UACGAAGGGGGCUAGCGUUGCUCGGAAUCACUGGGCGUAAAGCGCACGUAGGCGGCUUGUUAAGUCAGGGGUGAAAUCCUGGAGCUCAACUCCAGAACUGCCUUUGAUACUGGCGAGCUUGAGUUCGGGAGAGGUGAGUGGAACUGCGAGUGUAGAGGUGAAAUUCGUAGAUAUUCGCAAGAACACCAGUGGCGAAGGCGGCUCACUGGCCCGAUACUGACGCUGAGGUGCGAAAGCUAGGGGAGCAAACAGG
rnacentral:rRNA from 1 species